GCGGAUUUCUGCCUGUCCGAGAUAUAUGGGGAGACCGAAAGCUAGCCACAGGCACCUGGCAGUGCGUGUCUGUGUCUUCCCAAGAAGAGCUGGGACUGAAAUUUCCUGGUAGAGACGCACUUUAAAGAUGGCCCGGCUUCAAGCACCAGCUGUAUGUGCAUUGAAUUAUGAAUCCCAGAAUUAACUAACCCGGAGCUGACUGGUUGACUAAGUGGGCUCCGGACCCUCCAGUGCUCCCUGGAGUCCGAAUGCUUCCAGAAAUAGGCGAUUGUGUCAGUAUCCGGGCAGGUCUCUGAGAUUUUCUUUGCCAUAUGUUCUCUUUGCCACUGUCAUAUAAGUGGAAGCAAAUAAAGGAGAACAAAUAAAGGAGCCGACGUCUGUAAGGGAUGCAAGAUGAUGAAGUGGUGACUGGAAGGAACAGCUACAUAUACUUCCAUGAGGCAUUAAUAACAUCAUCUAAUCCCUCUGGUUUGGUUACAUUCACCUUUUUAAGCCAGAAAUUAUAUUAAUAAUCGUCUUAAUAAACUUUAUAGCCCUGACCAGAUAACUCAGUUGGUUAGAGCAUCAAACCUGAUAUGUUAAAGUUGCAGGUUUGAUCCUGGUCAGGGCCCAUAACCAAUGAAUGUAUAAAUAAGUGAAACAACAAAUCUCUCUCUCUCUCUAAAA